UUGGUUAAGUUAGAAAGGGCGCACGGUGGAUGCCUUGGCACUAGGAGCCGAAGAAGGACGGGACUAACACCGAUAUGCUUUGGGGAGCUGUACGUAAGCGUUGAUCCAGAGAUUUCCGAAUGGGGGAACCCACUAUCUUUAGUCGGAUAGUAUCCUUACGUGAAUACAUAGCGUGAGGAAGGCAGACCCAGGGAACUGAAACAUCUAAGUACCUGGAGGAAGAGAAAGAAAAAUCGAUUUCCUGAGUAGCGGCGAGCGAAACGGAAAGAGCCCAAACCAAGAAGCUUGCUUCUUGGGGUUGUAGGACACUCUAUACGGAGUUACAAAAGAAAGUUAUAAAUGAAGCGGUCUGGAAAGGCCCGCCAAAGACGGUAACAGCCCGGUAGUUGAAAUAGCUUUCCCUCCAGAGUGGAUCCUGAGUACGGCGGAACACGUGAAAUUCCGUCGGAAUCCGGGAGGACCAUCUCCCAAGGCUAAAUACUCCCUAGUGACCGAUAGUGAACCAGUACCGUGAGGGAAAGGUGAAAAGCACCCCGGAAGGGGAGUGAAACAGUUCCUGAAACCGUGUGCCUACAAGUAGUUAGAGCCCGUUAAUGGGUGAUAGCGUGCCUUUUGUAGAAUGAACCGGCGAGUUACGAUUUGUUGCAAGGUUAAGCGGAAAAAGCGGAGCCGUAGCGAAAGCGAGUCUGAAUAGGGCGCAUAAGUAACAGGUCGUAGACCCGAAACCAGGUGAUCUACCCAUGUCCAGGAUGAAGGUAAGGUAAUACUUACUGGAGGUCCGAACCCACGCACGUUGAAAAGUGCGGGGAUGAGGUGUGGGUAGCGGAGAAAUUCCAAUCGAACUUGGAGAUAGCUGGUUCUCUCCGAAAUAGCUUUAGGGCUAGCCUCGAGGUAAAGAGUCAUGGAGGUAGAGCACUGUUUGGACUAGGGGCCCUUCUCGGGUUACCGAAUUCAGAUAAACUCCGAAUGCCAUGUACUUAUACUCGGGAGUCAGACUGCGAGUGAUAAGAUCCGUAGUCGAAAGGGAAACAGCCCAGACCACCAGUUAAGGUCCCCAAAUAUAUGUUAAGUGGAAAAGGAUGUGGGGUUGCUUAGACAACCAGGAUGUUGGCUUAGAAGCAGCCACCAUUGAAAGAGUGCGUAAUAGCUCACUGGUCGAGUGACCCCGCGCCGAAAAUGUACCGGGGCUAAACAUAUUACCGAAACUGU
rnacentral:rRNA from 1 species